rnacentral:rRNA from 1 species
CCCUUAGAUGUUCUGGGCCGCACGCGCGCUACACUGACGAAUGCAACGAGCUUAUAACCUUGGCCGAAAGGUCUGGGUAAUCUCCAAAUUUCGUCGUGAUGGGGAUAGAUUAUUGCAAUUAUUAAUCUUCAACGAGGAAUUCCUAGUAAACGCAAGUCAUCAGCUUGCAUUGAUUACGUCCCUGCCCUUUGUACACACCGCCCGUCGCACCUACCGAUUGAAUGGUCCGGUGAAAUCUCGGGACGGCGGCUUGGUCGCUUGCGUCCGACUGCUGAAACUUGAUUAAACCAUAUCAUUUAGAGGAAGGUGAAGUCGUAACA